ACGGUUAACGGAGCGAAAGCGACGUUCAACCGCAAAAGAAGCAGAGGGGGCUUAGUGGUGGGGUGACUGCGUACCUUUUGUAUAAUGGGUCAGCGACUUAUAUUCUGUAGCAAGGUUAACCGAAUAGGGGAGCCGGAGGGAAACCGAGUCUUAACCGGGCGUUAAGUUGCAGGGUAUAGACCCGAAACCCGGUGAUCUAGCCAUGGGCAGGUUGAAGGUUGGGUAACACUAACUGGAGGACCGAACCGACUAAUGUUGAAAAAUUAGCGGAUGACCUGUGGCUGGGGGUGAAAGGCCAAUCAAACCGGGAGAUAGCUGGUUCUCCCCGAAAGCUAUUUAGGUAGCGCCUCGUGAAUUCAUCUCCGGGGGUAGAGCACUGUUUCGGCUAGGGGGCCAUCCCGGCUUACCAACCCGAUGCAAACUGCGAAUACCGGAGAAUGUUAUCACGGGAGACACACGGCGGGUGCUAACGUCCGUCGUGAAGAGGGAAACAACCCAGACCGCCAGCUAAGGUCCCAAAGUCAUGGUUAAGUGGGAAACGAUGUGGGAAGGCCCAGACAGCCAGGAUGUUGGCUUAGAAGCAGCCAUCAUUUAAAGAAAGCGUAAUAGCUCACUGGUCGAGUCGGCCUGCGCGGAAGAUGUAACGGGGCUAAACCAUGCACCGAAGCUGCGGCAGCGACACUCAGGUGUUGUUGGGUAGGGGAGCGUUCUGUAAGCCUGUGAAGGUGGCCUGUGAGGGUUGCUGGAGGUAUCAGAAGUGCGAAUGCUGACAUAAGUAACGAUAAAGCGGGUGAAAAGCCCGCUCGCCGGAAGACCAAGGGUUCCUGUCCAACGUUAAUCGGGGCAGGGUGAGUCGACCCCUAAGGCGAGGCCGAAAGGCGUAGUCGAUGGGAAACGGGUUAAUAUUC
rnacentral:rRNA from 1 species